rnacentral:rRNA from 1 species
GAUGAACGCUGGCGGCGUGCCUAAUACAUGCAAGUCGAGCGAACGGACGAGAAGCUUGCUUCUCUGAUGUUAGCGGCGGACGGGUGAGUAACACGUGGAUAACCUACCUAUAAGACUGGGAUAACUUCGGGAAACCGUAGCUAAUACCGGAUAAUAUUUUGAACCGCAUGGUUCAAAAGUGAAAGACGGUCUUGCUGUCACUUAUAGAUGGAUCCGCGCUGCAUUAGCUAGUUGGUAAGGUAACGGCUUACCAAGGCAACGAUGCAUAGCCGACCUGAGAGGGUGAACGGCCACAACGGGAAUGAGACACGGCCCAGACUCCUACGGGAGGCAGCAGUAGGGAAUCGUCCGCAAUGGGCGAAAGCCUGACGGAGCAACGCCGCGUGAGUGAUGAAGGUCUUCGGAUCGUAAAACUCUGUUAUUAGGGAAGAACAUAUGUGUAAGUAACUGUGCACAUCUUGACGGUACCUAAUCAGAAAGCCACGGCUAACUACGUG